AUAAAAGUCAGGUUAUCUUUGUGAAUCAUACAUAGUGAAGCAGUUGUGACGAUUGUGUAUUGUGAUUUGCAAAUAAAAACUUUUAUGUGACAUCUGUUGUCGAAGAAGAUAAUCUAGAUUUCAAUGUAAAUGUAGAGAACUAAAUUUCACAUGUUUGUCCUUGAAUUAGACUAAUGAAAAAAUGAAACGGAAGGAUAUAUUUACUGCAUAACAUAAUUUUUUUUAAGUGGAUUAAGUGACCAAAGUAAAGUAUUUGGUCAUCACCUUUUCAAGUAGCGAUAUCCUGUAUUGAAAGUUGAUACUGUAUUACUAUGGUCAAAG
rnacentral:lncRNA from 1 species